rnacentral:rRNA from 1 species
GACGAACGCUGGCGGCGUGCUUAACACAUGCAAGUCGAACGGAAAGGCCUCUUUCGGGGGGUACUCGAGUGGCGAACGGGUGAGUAACACGUGAGUAACCUGCCCUUGACUUUGGGAUAACUUCAGGAAACUGGGGCUAAUACCGGAUAGGAGCUCCUGCUGCAUGGUGUGGGUUGGAAAGUUUCGGGGGUUGGGGUUGGACUCGCGGCUUCUCAGCUUGUUGGUGGGGUAGUGGCUUACCAAGGCGUUGGCGGGUAGCCGGCCUGAGAGGGUGACCGGCAACAGUGGGACUGGGACACGGCCCCGACCCCUACGGGAGGGAGAAGUAGGGAAUAUUGAACAAUGGGUGGGAGCCUGAUGCAGAACCGCCGUGGGCGGGAUGACGGCCUUGGGGUUGUAAACCGAAUUCGCUCAUGACGAAGCUUUGUGUGACGGUAGUGGGUAAAGAAGCACCGGCUAACUACGUG